ACUUGACCUCAAAUCAA
rnacentral:rRNA from 1 species